rnacentral:rRNA from 1 species
UAGUCCACGCCGUAAACGAUGGAUGCUAGCCGUUGGGACAUUGGUUUCAGUGGCGACGCUAACGCAUUAAGCAUCCCGCCUGGGGAGUACGGUCGCAAGAUUAAAACUCAAAGGAAUUGACGGGGACCCGCACAAGCGGUGGAGCAUGUGGUUUAAUUCGAGGCAACGCGAAGAACCUUACCAGGGCUUGACAUGCCUGUCGUAGGAUCCAGAGACGGAUCCUUUCAGUUUGGCUGGACAGUGCACAGGUGCUGCACGGCUGUCGUCAGCUCGUGUCGUGAGAUGUUGGGUUAAGUCCCGCAACGAGCGCAACCCUCAUCAUUAGUUGCUAACAUUUAGUUGAGAACUCUAAUGAAACUGCCGGAGUUAAUCCGGAGGAAGGUGGGGGAUGACGUCAAGUCUUCAUGGCCCUUACGUCCUGGGGCUACACACGUGCUAC